ACAUAUUUAUGAUAUAAUAUUUAAAUAUACUAUAUAAAUAAAAAUAAAAAUAAAAACAGACAAUUAAAAAAUUGAAUGCGUGCAAAACGGACAAUCUCAUGAAAAUAUAAGUACAUUAAUUCACAUAUGUAUAUAGACUGUUAGAAAAAAUCAUCAGCAGCGUGUUGCGAUCUACUUGCAUGCCAAUCGAGAAUACAUUCAGUGCCAAAAGAACUCACGAAUAUCGUGGACGCUCUCACGCUUUCAAAGCGCGCAAAAUUUCAAGUGCAUAACUCAAAGAAAAUCGAGAAUAAAAUACCAAAAGACAUAAGCCUACAAAUAUUUUUACGAAUGCAAUCAGUCUGAAAUAUUUUCAAAUUCUUGCAUCAUUUUUUGACGCUGCGCAAAAGACGUCAUUGUACUUGCUAAAGCACAUUUGCUCCAUCACUGGAAUUCGCACGUACACACAUACAUACAUACACAUAAAGAAAACACAAAAUCAAAAACAACAAACAAAAAAAAUUACAGCUACAGAGUGACGCGUAAAGUGUGAAGAGAGUGUGCGAAGACGUUAAAAUAUUUUGGUUUAUAUCUGAAAUUCUGCUCGCCAAGUCUUAGCGCAUCUAGCAGUGCGCCCAUACUAGCCACAUACGCACAUAUAUUCACAUACACACACACACACACUUCCAUAUAUACGAUUUAGACGACUGACGAACACUUCGUUGUGCUUGCGAAAUUUACCGACCGCCGUUUUAAACACCACUCCUCCACCAACCACUUGCUCAUUUGCCCACUUGCCGGUUGCUCGGCCUUGCUCAUCCGCUUCGGUUGACAAUUUUCCCGGCAUCCGUUCGCGCUUUUACUGCUACUCAGCAGACCUUGCCUUUCCUCUUUUUUUCGUGCCAGUCUUCGGUUGUCCUCUUCGUACACUCACAUAGUUUAGAAGUUGCCAUCGUUUGGGACUUCGCCAGCAUUCAAGCAUCGAAGCAUCCAAAUCAUCAUCAUCACCAUCAUAGCCGUCAGCAGGCGCCAAACUCUUGAGUCUUCUCGAGGUAUAGUUGGAAGAGCGGCUACGAUAGGCGAACAGUCUGCUGAAAUCCGUCGUUGUCGUCGUUCGCUCGUAGUUGAUAUUUGCGGCGAAAUAAUUUGUAAAAUUCGUUAUCCGUCCAUGCCAUGCGCGAUAAAAUCACACAACUAUUUUGCUUGCAAAAGAACGCAUGCAAAAAUAAUACAACAGAUAAUCGAGGACAUAAUGUGCCAAUUAAAGUCACGAGCAACGGGACAACGAGUGCCAAUGGGUCUCUUGGGGCAGAAGGGCCCGAAACAGAGACCGACUCAUCAGGGACCGGGGGGAUGCGGAAGCCGUUGGAGAGGAAGGGCUCAGCGCCGAACGACGCUAUUCACCUCCAGAGACGGGUGGGACUCUUCAGUGGGGUGGCUUUAAUUGUCGGGACCAUGAUAGGGUCUGGAAUAUUUGUGUCGCCUUCAGGUCUACUAGUUCGUACUGGUUCCGUUGGUGUUAGCUUUAUAAUAUGGCUGGCCUGUGGUUUGCUCUCGUUGUUGGGCGCUCUGGCAUAUGCUGAAUUGGGUACGAUGAAUACAUCGUCUGGCGCUGAGUGGGCAUAUUUUAUGGACGCAUUUGGUCCGGCUCCCGCAUUUUUAUUCUCAUGGGUAUCGACAUUGGUCCUGAAGCCAUCGCAAAUGGCUAUAAUUUGUCUCUCCUUUGCGCAGUAUGGAGUUGAGGCAUUCGUUGCCGAAUGUGAUCCACCAACAUCGGUGGUUAAAAUGGUUGCACUGCUGGCAAUUGUUAUGAUACUGUUCGUGAAUUGUUAUAGUGUGAAUCUGGGCAUGGCUGUGCAGAAUAUAUUCACCGCUGCCAAAUUGGUUGCCGUCCUGAUUGUUAUCUGUGGCGGCGCUUGGAAACUAUUCCAAGGCAAUACACAACAUCUGUCGAAUGCAUUUAGUGGCAACACACCCACCAUUGGCGCGAUAGCGACCGCUUUUUACACAGGCCUCUGGGCGUACGAUGGCUGGAAUAAUUUGAACUAUGUCACUGAGGAGAUCAAGAAUCCAAGCAAGAAUUUGCCACGGUCCAUUAUGAUUGGCAUACCAUUAGUGACGCUAUGCUACGCUCUCAUCAACAUCUCAUAUUUGGCGGCGAUGUCACCUACCGAAAUGAUCGAUUCGGAAGCAGUGGCCGUGACCUUCGGUAAUCGCAUUCUGGGCGCUAUGGCUUGGCUAAUGCCGCUCAGUGUGACAGUGAGCACCUUUGGUAGCGCCAAUGGGACUCUAUUCGCAGCAGGACGUUUGUGUUUUGCGGCGAGUCGUGAAGGUCACCUAAUGGAUAUACUAUCGUACGUGCAUGUACGUCGCCUGACGCCGGCACCUGGAUUGAUUUUCCAUUCUAUCAUCGCUGCCGCUAUGGUUUUGUACGGCACCAUCGGCUCUCUGAUUGACUUCUUCAGCUUCACCGCCUGGAUUUUCUAUGGCGGUGCUAUGUUGGCACUCAUUGUGAUGCGUUACACCAAACCCAACUAUCCAAGGCCAUACAAAGUGCCUCUCAUCAUUCCUGUUGUGGUGCUGGUGAUCUCUAUAUAUCUGGUGGUGGCGCCGAUUAUCGAUACACCGCGCAUUGAAUAUCUCUAUGCGCUGCUCUUCAUAUUGGGCGGUUUGAUAUUCUAUGUGCCAUUUGUUAAAUUAGGCAUGACACCGAGAUUUAUGAACAAAGUGACACUCUUCUUCCAGCUGCUGUUGGAAGUGGUGCCAACCUCAUCGAUGUUCGAAUAAAACUGCAAGAGGUUAAUAUUAAUUGCAGAAAAAUGAAAACCAGCUGAGACAAAACCGUAUACAACAACCAAACAAUACAAAUAUAUAAAUAAAGGAUCAUUCAAUGAAAAGUAAAGGAGAGACUACCUAUUCAGGAUCUGAGGGAAUAAUCAUUUUAAAUGAGAAAAUUCUGCUCUAACAAAUACAACGCAUACAACAUGCACGUGAUAAUGACACCAACAACACACACUCGUGCAUACACACAUACAUACCUACCUAUAUAGCCACAUAUUUCCUCUAUAGAUAUGAAUAUUUGAGGAAUUUAAAUCUUGCAUAACAACUUACAUACAUACAUACAUAUGUAUCUAGGUAUUUUGGAAACACUUUUUGGUCUUAUUAAUGUACUUUUUAUAUAGUAUUUUGUUAUACGAGUACAUACAUUAUAUUAUAAUAUUAAAUAUGAUUAAACCUUUCGAGAGAUUUAUUUUUAUUUUACUACGUAUCUACAAAAAAAAUUUGA